rnacentral:rRNA from 1 species
ACUUUUAUACUCCUUCCGGUACUUGGAUACCUGCGGUAAUUCUGGAGCUAAUACAUGCGAAAAGCCUCGAACUUACGUGAGAGGCGCUUUUAUUAGAUCAAAACCAAUCGGCUUCGGCUGUACUCUUGGUGACUCUGAAUAACUUUGGGCUGAUCGUAUAGCCUUGCGCUGACGACAUAUCCUUCGAAGGUGUGCCCUAUCAACUGUCGACUGUGGCAUAGACGCCCACAGUGGUUUUGACGGGUAACGGGGAAUCAGGGUUCGAUUCCGGAGAGGGAGCCUUAAAAACGGCUACCACAUCUAAGGAAGGCAGCAGGCACGCAAAUUACCCAAUGAUCGAAGAUCGAGGUAGUGACGAAAAAUAACGAUCCAGGACUCAUCCGAGGCCCUGGAAUCGGAAUGAGUACACUUUAAAACCGUCCCCGAGGAUCUAUUGGAGGGCAAGUCUGGUGCCAGCAGCCGCGGUAAUUCCAGCUCCAAUAGCGUAUAUUAAAGUUGUUGUGGUUAAAAAGCUCGUAGUUGGAUCUCGGCGGACUGAGGGCGGUUUGCUUGCUAGUAUUACUGCCCUAUAGUCCGUAGUUUUGCCAGAGGUUUCGAGGUGCUCUUAAUCGAGUGUCCCGGGAUGCUGGCAGGUUUACUUUGAAAAAUUAGAGUGCUCAAAGCAGGCUAUUACGCCUGAAUAUUCGUGCAUGGAAUAAUAGAAUAGGAAGUCGUUUCUAUUUUGUUGGUUUUCGGAAAUCGACUUAAUGAUUAAUAGGGACAGUCGGGGGCAUUUGUAUUCAAACGACAGAGGUGAAAUUCUUGGACCGUUUGAAGACAAACUACUGCGAAAGCAUUUGCCAAGAAUGUUUUCAUUAAUCAAGAACGAAAGUUAAAGGUUCGAAGGCGAUUAGAUACCGCCCUAGUUUUAACCAUAAACGAUGCCAGCUAGCGAUCUGCGGACGUUUUUUUUUGUAGACUCCGCAGGAAGCUUCCGGGAAACCAAAGCAUUUGGGUUCCAGGGGAAGUAUGGUUGCAAAGCUGAAACUUAAAGGAAUUGACGGAAGGGCACCACCAGGAGUGGAGCCUGUGGCUUAAUUUGACCCAACACGGGAAAUCUCACCAGGCCCGGACACUGGAAGGAUUGACAGAUUGAUAGCUCUUUCUUGAUUCGGUGGGUGGUGGUGCAUGGCCGUUCUUAGUUGGUGGAGUGAUUUGUCUGGUUAAUUCCGAUAACGAACGAGACUCUGUCCUGCUAAAUAGUGUCUGCUUCUCUUUUGAGCAGACAAUUCUUCUUAGAGGGACUGGCGACUCUUAGUCGCACGAGAUUGAGCAAUAACAGGUCUGUGAUGCCCUUAGAUGUUCU